rnacentral:rRNA from 1 species
UACGUAGGGGCAAGCGUUGUCCGGAAUCAUUGGGCGUAAAGCGCGUGUAGGCGGCUCGGUAAGUCCGCUCUGAAAGUCCAGGCUCAACCCUGGGAUGCGGGUGGAUACUGCCGAGCUCGAGUCCGGAAGAGGCGAGUGGAAUUCCUGGUGUAGCGGUGAAAUGCGCAGAUAUCAGGAGGAACACCAAUGGCGAAGGCAGCUCGCUGGGACGUGACUGACGCUGAGACGCGAAAGCGUGGGGAGCAAACAGG